GCCCGGGUGGCGGAAUAGGUAGACGCAAGGGACUUAAAAUCCCUCGAUACUAAGUAUCGUGCCAGUUCGAUUCUGGCCCCGGGCACCA
rnacentral:tRNA from 1 species